CUAAUGUCCGGGGCGACAUUUGCUAUACUGAAAAAGAGAAGGCCAGAACAAUCAUCAGGACGAGCAAAUCCAUUCGGUAAGGCUCCAAAGAAUGUGAAUUGCAAUUCCAAGUAUGCAGCUGUCGAUUCUGCCGAGACAUGACACUAUAUAUUACUAGAAUUGACAAAGAUUGCAGAUAACUAAGUAGAUACAUAGCACAUUAUAACACAACAAAGCAAUAACAACUGGGCCCUUUUUUUCUUGCAACCCCACUGUUAGGUGUCCAAGCUUACAACCGUUCAUACUAAUGGUUCUAACAGCAAGCGCUUAGCUAACAGAUACUCACAGUCACAGCAGUGAUAAAGGGAAAACUGACAAACUUUUGAAGAUUGCUGAAACUUUACUGAUUUUACUCCAUUUGCAUCUAAAUUUAAGCUUCAUGGGGAGUUGCUCAAAAAGAUAGUGGAGGUGCUCCACAGCUCAAAGGAGCCAGGUUCUUCUCUUUUGAUGAACUGAAGAACUGCACCAACAAUUUCUCAGAAAAUCAUGAAAUAGGAUCAGGAGGCUACGGAAAGGUAAAUAACUACAUAGUUAUUGAUUAACAUUCUUCCAAGAAGAUUGACAUACAGCUAAUCUAACGGUUUACCUCAUGUGAAAGGUUUACAAGGGAACGAUUGAAGAUGGAACAGGUGUUGCAAUAAAAAGAGCGGAGUAUGGAUCAAAGCAAGGUGCGGUGGAGUUCAAGAAUGAGAUUGAACUGCUGUCCAGGGUUCAUCACAGGAACCUAGUAAGCCUGAUAGGAUUUUGCUAUGAACAAGGGGAGCAGAUGCUGGUGUACGAAUAUGUUUCUAAUGGUACAUUGCGAGAGAACUUGCAAGGUAUGCAUACAGAGAUAGUUCACAAGCCUAAAAGUAAGUACAUUUUGUGUUUCUUCUCCUUCACAACUUGCAAUUUUGACUCAGCAAGGGGAAUUUACCUGGACUGGAAGAAGAGGCUCAGGAUUGCUCUUGGCUCAGCUAGAGGACUAGCGUAUCUUCACGAACUUGCUGAUCCACCUAUUAUCCACAGAGAUAUCAAGUCCACAAAUAUCCUUUUGGAUGACAAUCUUAAAGCAAAGGUUGCUGAUUUUGGUCUGUCGAAGCUAGUUGCGGAUACCGAAAAGGGACACGUUUCUACUCAAGUCAAGGGAACACUUGUAAAUGCUCUGCUUACCAUUGUCUGCCAAUUUGUGUACAGAUUUCAUUGGUUACUCUUAUGCUUGACGGCUACAUUUCAUUUCGUAGGGCUAUCUGGACCCCGAGUACUACAUGACGCAGCAGCUAUCGGAGAAGAGCGACGUCUACAGCUUCGGUGUCGUCAUGCUUGAGCUACUAAGCGCCAGGUUGCCCAUAACAAAGGGCAGAUACAUCGUCCGGGAGUUCAGGAUUGCCAUAGAUCCCAACGAGCACGACUACUACGGCUUGCAGGGCAUCAUCGACCCGGCCAUCCACGACGCCGCCAAGUCCGCCGGGUUCAGAAGGUUCGUGCAGCUGGCCAUGGAGUGUGUGGAGGAGUCGGCUUCAAAACGGCCCACGAUGAGCUCGGUGGUGAAGGAAAUCGAGACGAUGCUCCACAAUGAGGGCCUGAGCUCAUCCGGCUCGUCUGUCACGGAGUUCGAGCACGCAGGGCAAGCCACCGGAGGCCCAUACGGCGGUGCGGUGGUUGUGACCGGAUCGAGCAGCAGCAGCAGCAUCAUAUCGGAAGAACCAUCCCGGUCCCACCGUGGAACUCGGCACUAAGCUCCCCGCACGCUCUUUGCCUACUCGGUGGACAUUUUAUGGACAUUUUUUUUCCUAAUCAGUCGUUGGAACUUGCAAUCCGCCCAAAUUUGAAGGCCAUGGCUCGAAUGCCCGAUUGGCUUCAGACCAGAUCAACCAACGUCGACGGUGAAUUCGUCUGUGUAACGUUAAAUAAAGCAAUGGCUAAUGGAAUCGAAGCUGCUCUGAACUCGUGAUGCUAGAUCGCAGAAACCCAUGGCUUCGAAUUAAGAGCGCGUUUGGAUUUGCGGCCGUUGGUGUGUUAGGGCAGGGGUUUCGACGAGCGUGAGGGAGGGGAAAUGCGGACGAACCUGGUCGGUCGGUGAGGCGGACACGGCCGGCGGCCGGCGGCGCGGAGGGCCGUGCCCCGUGCGUGUGGGCGUGCGCUUUGGAGGGGUUCGUCUCUGCUCCGCUCCGUCUUCCAAGGGGAAA
rnacentral:lncRNA from 1 species